rnacentral:rRNA from 1 species
GGGGUAUCGACCCCCCCUGUGCCGCAGCUAACGCAAUAAGUAUUCCGCCUGGGGAGUACGACCGCAAGGUUGAAACUCAAAGGAAUUGACGGGUCCCCGCACAAGCAGCGGAGCAUGUGGUUUAAUUCGAAGCAACGCGAGGAACCUUACCAGGACUUGACAUCCACAGAAUCCUCUGGAAAAGGAGGAGUGCCUUCGGGAACUGUGAGACAGGUGGUGCAUGGUUGUCGUCAGCUCGUGUCGUGAGAUGUUGGGUUAAGUCCCGCAACGAGCGCAACCCUUAUGUUUAGUUACCAGCGGAUAAUGCCGGGGACUCUAGACAAACUGCCGGGGGCAACUCGGAGGAAGGUGGGGACGACGUCAAAUCAUCAUGCUCCUUAUGUCCUGGGCUACACACGUGCUACAAUGGCCAUUACAAAGGGAUGCCACCUCGCAAGAGGGAGCAAAACCGAAAAAGGUGGUCUCAGUUCGGAUUGAGGGCUGCAACCCGCCCUCAUGAAGUUGGAGUUGCUAGUAAUCGCGAAUCAGAACGUCGCGGUGAAUGCGUUCCCGGGGAUUGUACACACCGCCCGUCACACCACGGAAGUUGGGGGCACCCGAAGCCAGUGAGCUAACCGCAAGGAGGCAGCUGUCUAAGGUGAAAUCAAUGACUGGGGUGAAGUCGUAACAAGGUAGCCG